rnacentral:rRNA from 1 species
CCUACGGGAGGCUGCAGUGAGGAAUAUUGGUCAAUGGGCGCGAGCCUGAACCAGCCAAGUCGCGUGAGGGAGGACGGCCCUACGGGUUGUAAACCUCUUUUGCCGGGGAGCAACGGGCGUCACGUGUGGCGCCACUGAGAGUACCCGGAGAAAAAGCAUCGGCUAACUCCGUGCCAGCAGCCGCGGUAAUACGGAGGAUGCGAGCGUUAUCCGGAUUUAUUGGGUUUAAAGGGUGCGUAGGCGGAUCGUUAAGUCAGUGGUCAAAUUGAGGGGCUCAACCCCUUCCCGCCAUUGAAACUGGCGCUCUUGAGUGGAAGAGAAGUAUGCGGAAUGCGUGGUGUAGCAGUGAAAUGCGUAGAUAUCGAGAGGAACACUCGUGGCGAAGGCGGGUUCCUGGACAUUAACUGACGCUGAGGCACGAAGGCCAGGGGAGCGAAAGGGAUUAGAUACCCGAGUAGUC